rnacentral:rRNA from 1 species
UACGAAGGGGGCUAGCGUUGCUCGGAAUCACUGGGCGUAAAGGGUGCGUAGGCGGGUCUUUAAGUCAGGGGUGAAAUCCUGGAGCUCAACUCCAGAACUGCCUUUGAUACUGAGGAUCUUGAGUUCGGGAGAGGUGAGUGGAACUGCGAGUGUAGAGGUGAAAUUCGUAGAUAUUCGCAAGAACACCAGUGGCGAAGGCGGCUCACUGGCCCGAGUACUGACGCUGGAGGCAC